GACGAACGCUGGCGGCGUGCUUAACACAUGCAAGUCGAACGGAAAGGCCCUGCUUUUGUGGGGUGCUCGAGUGGCGAACGGGUGAGUAACACGUGAGUAACCUGCCCUUGACUUUGGGAUAACUUCAGGAAACUGGGGCUAAUACCGGAUAGGAGCUCCUGCUGCAUGGUGGGGGUUGGAAAGUUUCGGCGGUUGGGGAUGGACUCGCGGCUUAUCAGCUUGUUGGUGGGGUAGUGGCUUACCAAGGCUUUGACGGGUAGCCGGCCUGAGAGGGUGACCGGCCACAUUGGGACUGAGAUACGGCCCAGACUCCUACGGGAGGCAGCAGUGGGGAAUAUUGCACAAUGGGCGGAAGCCUGAUGCAGCAACGCCGCGUGCGGGAUGACGGCCUUCGGGUUGUAAACCGCUUUCGCCUGUGACGAAGCGUGAGUGACGGUAAUGGGUAAAGAAGCACCGGCUAACUACGUGCCAGCAGCCGCGGUGAUACGUAGGGUGCGAGCGUUGUCCGGAUUUAUUGGGCGUAAAGGGCUCGUAGGUGGUUGAUCGCGUCGGAAGUGUAAUCUUGGGGCUUAACCCUGAGCGUGCUUUCGAUACGGGUUGACUUGAGGAAGGUAGGGGAGAAUGGAAUUCCUGGUGGAGCGGUGGAAUGCGCAAAUAUCAGGAGGAACACCAGUGGCGAAGGCGGUUCUCUGGGCCUUUCCUGACGCUGAGGAGCGAAAGCGUGGGGAGCGAACAGGCUUAGAUACCCUGGUAGUCCACGCUGUAAACGGUGGGUACUAGGUGUGGGGUCCAUUCCACGGGUUCCGUGCCGUAGCUAACGCUUUAAGUACCCCGCCUGGGGAGUACGGCCGCAAGGCUAAAACUCAAAGGAAUUGACGGGGCCCCGCACAAGCGGCGGAGCAUGCGGAUUAAUUCGAUGCAACGCGUAGAACCUUACCUGGGUUUGACAUGGAUCGGGAGUGCUCAGAGAUGGGUGUGCCUCUUUUGGGGUCGGUUCACAGGUGGUGCAUGGCUGUCGUCAGCUCGUGUCGUGAGAUGUUGGGUUAAGUCCCGCAACGAGCGCAACCCUUGUUCACUGUUGCCAGCACGUUAUGGUGGGGACUCAGUGGAGACCGCCGGGGUCAACUCGGAGGAAGGUGGGGAUGACGUCAAGUCAUCAUGCCCCUUAUGUCCAGGGCUUCACGCAUGCUACAAUGGCUGGUACAGAGAGUGGCGAGCCUGUGAGGGUGAGCGAAUCUCGGAAAGCCGGUCUCAGUUCGGAUUGGGGUCUGCAACUCGACCUCAUGAAGUCGGAGUCGCUAGUAAUCGCAGAUCAGCAACGCUGCGGUGAAUACGUUCCCGGGGCU
rnacentral:rRNA from 1 species